rnacentral:rRNA from 1 species
UUUAUGGAGAGUUUGAUCCUGGCUCAGGAUGAACGCUGGCGGCGUGCCUAAUACAUGCAAGUCGAGCGAACAGAUGAGGAGCUUGCUCCUUUGACGUUAGCGGCGGACGGGUGAGUAACACGUGGGUAACCUACCUAUAAGACUGGAAUAACUCCGGGAAACCGGGGCUAAUG